UGUUGGCACAGUCAGCCAAGGCUAAAGAGCACCUGCUGGAACAGUCUCGUUCAGUGGAUCAAGGUACGUCCUCCCGUAGUCAGAGUCCAUCUGUGGCUCCAGGGAGAGAAGCACGGCAGUUUGUGGAUCCUCUUCUGCAGCGGAAAGAGGAGGCCUCCACUGAGAGCAAGAAUGCAGAGGCUGUCGUUGAUUGGCUGACUGGAUCCCAGCUACAGUUUUACACCACAAACUUCCUCAAUGCAGGAUAUGACCUGCCAACCAUCAGUCACAUGACCCCAGAG